ACUAUGAGAGAAUACAGGGUCUAAUCUCCAGUGUACAUGUCAAAAAGGGGAAUGGGCUGCAGCAUCUAGAGAGGAGACCAUCCUGUAGACCCAUCCUGUUGUUUUACAAAGUGUGGGAAACCACUGAUGAGGUAGGUGUGUUUUGGGUGGAGAAGGAAAGGCAGGGUAGAAGAGAGCGGAAUCCAGCCAGGCAGCCCCCAAUGGAAGAAUAUUCAACUCUAGCUCAACGUGGGGAAGGUAAUGACUUUGAUCCUUCCAGUUACCUUUUCUAGAGGGAAUAUGGAAAGAAUCCAGAGUGGACAAGGGCAGCCUCACAUUAGGACCCCAUCCAAUGGGCAUAUCUGUCACUUUCCAGCACACCAGGACUCUAGGGCGCCAGGAUGGGCAUAGCUGUGGCAGAGGUGAGAGGCAGCCUGUGGGAGGCUGUGAGCCCAGGUGGCCACCUGGUCCUUAUAGCCAUGAGGUUUGCAGGCAGUGCCUCAAGCAUCACAGCAGCUGCAGUGCAGGCACCUGGCUGUGGACAACCUCAUGGGGGUGGCGAGCAGGUGGCCCAAGGUGCCAGGGCCAGCAUGGCAUCCGCAGGGUCAGCUAGUCUUCAGUGCUGCCAAGAAGAGUUUAUGAGCUGCCUCUCCUCUGCUACCAGGAAACAGCCUGAUGGGGUGCGUAGGGACUGAAGUUUCCACAAUUAGCUGGAGGAAGAGGAGAUCUUGAGAAACAGUGGUAAUUUCGCUGUAAUUGUAUGUGUGCCACUCCCCGGCCCUGAAGGGCAUGAGCAAGAAAGACUGAAAGUUGUGAAAUGUACCAGGGAAGACACUGCGGUUCUGUGGUGACGGUGAAAAUGAACGUCUCAAAAGCUGGGUGAUGGCUCAGCUGGACCCAGCAUGUUAGCAACCCGUGUUUGAACAGAAGGAAAUGAAAAAUAAAGUAGAAGGACAAGGGAAGGAAAUUGGGAUCUCUUUUCAUGGAGGCACAGAAUGAAAUGAGGUCUCACCAUAUUGCCCAGGCUGGAGUGCAGUGGCUAUUCACAGGCACGAGCACAGCAUGCUACAGUCUCAAGCCUCCCGAGUAGCUAGGACUACAGGCAAGUGCCAGCGUGCCUGGCAAAGUGGCAUAUGUUUCACCUUAAGAGGCCUUUUCAGAUGCUCGGGAGACUGAGACAGAAUUUCUUAAACAGAGGAGAUGGAGGUUGCAGUGAGCCAAGAUCACACCACUGCAGUCCAGCCUGGUGGAUAGAGCAAGACUCCCUCUCAAAAACAAAAACAAAAAAAAAGAUGUCCUUCAAUAGAGAAAGGGGCUCACUGUGUCACCCAGGCUGGAAUGCAGUGGCACAAUCACAGCUCCCUGCAGCCUCAAACUCCUGGGAUCAAGCAAUCCUCCCCACUGAGCCUCCGGAGUAGCUGGGACUACAGAGUUAAAGAAGACUUGAAAGAAGGGGAUGUGAGUGGCAGGAAAAUCCCCAGUGACCGGCCCUGAACCUUCUGCCAGCGCAGCUCACCUCCUCCCCAAAUGCCUCCCAAUAGGAUCUCAGCCCUAAACAAGCACAGGGCGUGGGGUGGUACAGAUGAUGAUGUAGCUGCUUCUGAGAUGCCCCUGGGCGCUGCUGGAGCUGAGCCCUGGGACUGGAAUGACUUUUGCCCGCUGCCCUCAAAAUUCCCACAGGCCACACCGCUACCACCUCUUGGAUAUAAGCUCCAUGAGAACAGCCACCUUGUUUACCUUGUUCAUGGAUACAGAACAGUGCCUGGUGCUCAAUAAAUGAACAGUGAGUGAAUAAGUGAGUGUUGAGUCAUCUAAGUGAGCUUAGAUGAACUGACAAUGAGACUGUGCACAAUGAAGAGAAAGGAGGACUCUUGAGGAAUUCCACCAGCUUGAAGAUGGCUGAAGAAAGAUGACAGAAAGCAAUCAGAGGGAUGGAGGGCAAACUAAGAAAGCAGAGUCAAGAGUAGGAAGAUUGGGAAGUGGUAGACAACAUUAGGAAAUACUGCAGAAAAACCUAAAAGGAUGAGAAUUAGGAAAGACACUAUUGAAUUUGGUCUUUGGGGCUGAAAAAAAAGGCAGCUGCAGAAAAGAAAUUGGAGUGGAACCCCAUUUGCACAGAAAUUAUGGAGUAAUUAGGACACCAGGCAGAAAGUUUGGCAAUGAAUGGAAGGAGAGAUGACAGCCUUGGGCAUUCGCUCGCAGAACGCAAGGACAUUCAUUCUUAAUUCAGUAGAAAAGUGUCGUGUUGUUACUGUCUCAAGUGGAAGCGCCCUCUCACUCCUUCAUUGUCCUAAGAGAACAAAAGGGGCCUUGAAUUUCAUGACUGCCCCAGUGAUGCUUCUGAGAGCUUGAGCUUUGGAAUCAGACUGCCCACAUUCAAACCCCAGUUCUUCCUAUUGCUGGCUGUGUGAUUUGGGGAAAAUUACUUGAUUCCCUAAGUUUUCUCAUCUGUGAAAUGGGGAUUCACUCAGUUAGUGAAUAUUAUUCAGCUCCUACCAUGUGCAGACACUGUUCUAGUGGGGGAUUCAGCAUACCAGCAGUAAAUGGAUCUCUGUACAAUGCCAAAAACAUGAAGCCAACUAUUCAUAGUAUUUUUAAGUGAUAUCCUGGUGCUGCUUCCAGGAAGAUGGAGUAGAUAUACUUUUCCCUAUUGCUCCCACUAAGUACAACUAAAACCCUGGACAUUAUGUAUAAACAUGCAUAAGAAGAUGCUGAAAGGUGGUAAGAAAGCAGACUGGCCAGGGACUUUGCGAUCCAAGGAACAACCUGGUGAUGAGUUUCCUGUACCCCAGACUUGGGAUAAAGGAGCUGGCAACCCAGAAAUGCCAACGGGAGCAAAUAAAAAAUCCCCAACAAAAGCCUGUUUCUCUAGACAAAGGACUAGGACAGGGGCAGCCUAACAAAACAGAAAACUCUUAGUAACAACUUACUCCAGCUAAAUAGCACAGAAAAACCUAUGGUCCACUCCCACCCACACCACCCAAGGGUGUGGGAGUCCAGGCUAUCACAAGGGGCCUCGCCUCCACUGGUGUGGUAUCGCAAAAGCCACAGGGAGCUGGUUCUUUCAUCCCCAUCUGACAAAAGGCUCCCACCCCCAUGGUGUCAGCGGAGACCACACUGGGAGCCUGAACUUCCACCCACUCACAGCUGUAACAAGGCAGUCCCUCCACCUCCCUGCUGGGGUGGUGUCAGAGGAGGCCAAGUGGAGAGUCAGGACUUUCACCAUAGCCCAGUGACAAUGAAGCCACCUCCCUAUGGUGUCAGUGGAGGCCAUAAGGAACAGUAACGAGGUCUAGUGGGAAUCCAGAACUGCCACCCUGCCCAGCAGUAACCAGGAGCCCCUCCCCUCCGUGUGGACAGAGGCCAAGUGCUGAAGCUGGACUUUGCUCCCCCUAGCCCUGCUAGGUGGCUAUUAGAACAGCCAGCUAAAACUGGUUUCACCAAGACAGAUUUAGGAAGACAGUGCCCCGGGCAGGAAAAUGAAGGCACGGAGAGGUUAAAUAUAAUAACUUGCUAGUGGUCAAUCAGUAGGCAGUAGAGGAGCCAGCAUAUAAACCCAAGCUGCCCAGCUGCAGAACCACAUUCUUGUCCCAUAUGCUAUGCCUCUCAAAAAAGGAGGCCCUCUCCUUGGGACACAAAGGUAAUAAAAAUGCCUGCCCUGAGCUGUGUCUCUGUCUAGGUACACAGUUCAUGAGUGAAGGAGCUCCUGGAGUCAUGAAUAAUGGAAGUCCAGAUUGGUCAAGUAACUUGUCCCAGCCCCAGCCCAUGCAUCUGGUAUGUGGUUGGACAGGUUUCUAACUCAUUACGUAACAUCAAGAACAUUUUAAACUGCUUUGAGACAUUUGUGAAUUAAGAUCUCAAUAAAUAGUCCUCCCUGGCACCAGCUCCAUCCACAUUAAAUGAGACUUGAAAAUUUCUUUGAAUGGAUAUUAGUUUAGAAGGAGCUAAGUUAUUAGUUGGCCUCACAUUCCUCAGUUGGGCCCUGGGCCCAGCAUGCCACUUCUCCUGGUUAUUAUGGUUCACAUCUGAGGUAACCCAUCGGGAAACUGGAUGGGACAACAAACUAAAAAUGUUUUAGUUUGGACCUGUCCAAAACCAAGAGAAUAAAAACAAAAUGGAUAGUCAAGAUGAUUCAGAGCUAUGGAAUGUGUCAUUUUUGCUCAGAAGCGUGCUAACUUGCAGUGUGGUUUAUCAAAGCCUUGAAUUUAUCGUCUUCCUUGUUUCUGCUGCCUUUUCACUGUUAGAAGAGGGAGAAGGAGGAAAACAAAAAAGGAAACCAAAAAGAGAAAAUGCCUUAUUUUUCUCAUUCUCAUUAAACACAGUGAAAGAGAGAACUGAAGGGAUUGACUGAAAUUUGAUUUUCCUAGACUCUACCCCACUUUAGACAAUGAUUUAAAAAACCUAGAUUUAUGAAAAUGAUCAAGUGAAGAGUGACUACCCACUUCAGAGUUUUUAUUUUUAAUAAAAGGGUUUUAGGAGAACUUUUUUUUUAAAAGUGAUUUCCUUUAUUUAAAAUACCCUUCAUGCUGGGCACAGUGGCUCACACCCAUAAUGCCAGCACUUUGAGAGGCCAAGACAGGGAGAUUACCUGAGCCCAGCCCAGGCAACAUAGUGAGACCCUGUCUCUCAAAAAAAAAAAAAAAAAAAAAAAGCAAGCAAGCAAGCCAGGCAUGAUGGCACAUGCCUAUAGACCCAGCUACUUGGGAGGCUGAGGUGGGAGGAUCAUUUGAGCUCAGGAGUUCAAGGUUAUAGUGAGCCAUGAUCACUCCACUGCACUACAGCCUGGGUAACAGAGACCCCAUUUCUCAAAAUAAAAUAAAUACCCUUCAGGCUCAGAUAUAUAUAGAAAUUGAGUACAGAUAUAUGCUCAGAAUGGCUUUUCAAAUCUGAUGGUAUUGGCUUAAGUGGACAACCAUCUGUGGAUGCAUACUUCACACCUUGCUUCAAAUUCAUUCCAUGUGGAUCUAAAUGCAAGAAAUGAAAACAUGAAAGUACUAAAAGAAAUCGUGGGAGAAAAGGUUUUAUAAACUUCAAGGGGACAAAUAUAAAGAACUAAAUCAAAGGAUAAACAAAUGGAUUUUAAAUAUAUAAAAGGUGCUCAAAUUCACCCAUAAUAAAGGCAAAUGAAACUAUACCUAGAAGUGACAGAAGUAUAUAAAUCCCAUGUUCUAUCCCACCCUAAAAAUCCUUAUCAAUACUAGCAAAGGUUAUGCUGGCUUUUCAGAGAAUAUUCCAUGGGAUGGUGGCUUAAGCAACUUUAUUUGGUUAUUAAAGGAAAGGUAGACCUCAUAAGGCUGGGAGGCCUUAAGUACAUUUGGAUUAUAACUGCAAAAUAAGAGAAAAGAACAUACUCCCACUAAAUAAAACAUCUUCU
rnacentral:lncRNA from 1 species